CUGCUCACAUGGGCAGCACAUAUGCUAAAAUUGGAACGAUACAGAGAAGUUUAGCAUGGCCCCUGUGCAAGGAUGACACACACAUUUGUGAAGAUAUCUUUUAU
ensembl:snRNA U6 U6 spliceosomal RNA